rnacentral:rRNA from 1 species
GAUGAACGCUGGCGGCGUGCCUAAUACAUGCAAGUCGAGCGAACAGACGAGGAGCUUGCUCCUCUGACGUUAGCGGCGGACGGGUGAGUAACACGUGGAUAACCUACCUAUAAGACUGGGAUAACUUCGGGAAACCGGAGCUAAUACCGGAUAAUAUAUUGAACCGGAUGGUUCAAUAGUGAAAGACGGUUUUGCUGUCACUUAUAGAUGGAUCCGCGCCGCAUUAGCUAGUUGGUAAGGUAACGGCUUACCAAGGCAACGAUGCGUAGCCGACCUGAGAGGGUGAUCGGCCACACUGGAACUGAGACACGGUCCAGACUCCUACGGGAGGCAGCAGUAGGGAAUCUUCGGCAAUGGGCGAAAGCCUGACGGAGCAACGCCGCGUGAGUGAUGAAGGUCUUCGGAUCGUAAAACUCUGUUAUUAGGGAAGAACAAAUGUGUAAGUAACUAUGCACGUCUUGACGGUACCUAAUCAGAAAGCCACGGCUAACUACGUG